rnacentral:sRNA from 1 species
GUUUUUAAACUGUUACAUAUUUUCUGGUGCAUUGAACUUUUGUACUGAUAUGAAGUGACUUUUUUCUAGUAAUGUCUUUAAAAGUAUAAUUUAUCUGAUAUUGAUAAUUAUAUUUAAAAAAUCUGUACAUGUUAAAAGCUGUUGUACCAGCUAGCUAGCUUCCUUCCUUCCUGCCUUCCUUCCUUCCUUUCCCUCCCUCCCUUCCUCCUUCCUUCUUCCCUCCCUCCCUUUCCUUUCCUUUCUUUUUUUUUUUUUUGAGAUGGAUUUUUUGUAUUAAUGAUAGGAAUUGUUACUGCAAGUUUGUAUGCUGGUAAGGAUGGUUCUUUAGGUGAGAAGAAUUGAUAUAGGGGACUAGGGGACAGUGCAAGAACAGAGAGGGAAAUGGAAUCCAGUACACAAGUAGAGAGGCUACCCAUAGAGAGGAACAUGGACAGCUCAUUCAUAGUAGUAGGAGGUUCAGGGUCAAGUGCAAGUGGAUUGGUAGAGGUAGUAAUGGGACAAUGUUUCUAUUUUCUCAAAGAAACAAUGUCAUUUGCUGACAGUAGGGAGGGAGGAAAGUGAAGGAGGCUUGAAAAGUGAGGAAUGUUGAACAUAGUGUUAUUGUUUCUAGAUAUGUUUACAUUCUGUUAAGAGGUGGAGUAAUCUAGUUAAAGUAAAAUUUUGAAAACUUCCUUAUAAUUAUGUUGAACUAAAAUAGUUUAAAAAUAUAUAACAAAAAUUAGUUAUAAAGGAUUCAUAAGUAGAAAUUCCAUCCCCUGAAUGUUUUGUAAAUGAAUUUUAUAAAGUUAUAAAAAUACUGACUCUUGAAAGAUUAUUUGGAAAACAGGAAGAAACACCUCCUUUCCAAAUCAUCUAUAUUCCUACUACCCAGGCAUAACCCCUACUCUUAGGUCCCUCCCAUUUUUUUUCUUUUUAAUGCCAAGUUGUUUUUUUUUAAAAAAUUUAUUUAUUUAUUUAUAUUUUUUAUUAUACUUUAAGUUUUAGAGUACAUGUGCACAACGUGCAGGUUUGUUACAUAUGUAUACUUGUGCCAUGUUGGUGUGCUGCACCCAUUAACUCAUCAUUUAACAUUAGGUAUAUCUCCUAAUGCUAUCCCUCCCCGCUUCCCCCACCCCACAACAGGCCCCGGUGUGUGAUGUUCCCCUUCCUUGUUUGUUGUUAAAAAGAACAGUUAUAGUCAUGCUUCAUAUGCAAUUUGUCAUUCUAUGCUUAUCAGCUAGCCCUAUAAAUAUUUUUCCAUGUUAUUACAUACUUUUUAUAACCAUCAAAUAGUUGGGUCAUUAUUUGCUGAAUAAAUACCCUAUUGUUGGACAUUUAGGUUAACAAUUUUUAGUUGUUCCAUAUAAUCAUUUUGAAUAAAUGUUCCUAAGAAACUCAUUGUAUACAAACCUUUCAUUACUUGAUAAGCUGUGUCAUAUUUUUGAAUCAGAUAACUUAGAAAAUAAUUCUGGCUUGACUUUUUAUUGUGACUUCAUAGUCACACUGUGUUAAAGUAGAUUCUCUUUCCUAAUUUUACUAAUUAUAUGUUAGGUUUAAAGUCAAUGCAAGGAGGUGGGUGAGGUGGUGCACUCCUUUAGUCCCAGCUACUUGGGAGGCUGAGGCAGGAGAAUUGCUUGAGCCCAGGAGUUCUUGGCCAGCCUGGACAUCAUAGCAAGACCCCCAUCUCUGAAAACAAAAAACAAAAACACCAAAAACUGUUAAAAUUGGUACAAGGAAACAAUGUGUGUCCUGGAAGUAUUGAUGUAACUUUAAUAGUACAAUGAUAAUUUUAUACCAAAUUUUAGAGUAUAUAUUCAAAGUAAGAAACAUUAAUAUUUUUAAUAGGUUGAUCCAAGGAUUAGUUUUGGAUCAUGGUGCCCGUCAUCCAGAUAUGAAGAAGCGAGUAGAAGAUGCAUUUAUCCUUAUUUGCAACGUUUCACUGGAAUAUGAAGAAACGUAUGUGUUACUUUCUCUUUAUAACUUUUGACAUUUUUUUUCUAAAGGUGUUUUAAAAUCUCUUUUUCCUUCCAGAUGUUUGGUGUAGACUACUUCUAUCUUUUUUCCUUUUUCCUCCUGCCUUUACUAGCUGGUUUUUAUUAAUCUUUUAGAGAGGUGAACUCUGGUUUCUUUUAUAAGACUGCAGAAGAGAAAGAGAAAUUGGUAAAAGCUGAAAGAAAAUUUAUUGAAGAUAGAGUACAAAAAAUAAUAGACCUGAAGGACAAAGUUUGUGCUCAGUCAAAUAAAGGAUUUGUCGUCAUCAAUCAAAAGGGAAUUGAUCCAUUUUCCUUAGAUUCUCUUGCAAAACAUGGAAUAGUAGCUCUUCGCAGAGCAAAAAGAAGAAAUAUGGAAAGACUCUCUCUUGCUUGUGGUGGAAUGGCCAUGAAUUCUUUUGAAGAUCUCACCGUAGAUUGCUUGGGACAUGCUGGUCUUGUGUAUGAGUAUACAUUAGUGAGUAUUUCUAUGAACAGUGGUUAUAAAGUGAAUACUAAGCCCCCUUUUUUAAAGAAAAAUACUACUUGACCUUUUAUUUCAUGUUUUGUGUUUUGAGAUCUAAUUCACAGAACAGAUUUUACAGUUUAUUUACCUAAAUGUUUGUUAAGAGUUCAGAUAUAACUUAACUCCCUUAGUUAUGCUUGAUAAGAAAAAUUCAAAUGAAGAUUGUAUUCUAGUAUAAAUUGUUGAUUUUAUAAUGACUUCAAAUAUUAAAGUUAUAUAUUUUUGUGCCACCCUUUAGGGUGAAGAAAAGUUCACUUUUAUUGAGGAGUGUGUUAACCCUUGCUCUGUUACCUUGUUGGUUAAAGGACCAAAUAAGCAUACUCUCACACAAGUCAAGGAUGCCAUAAGAGAUGGACUUCAUGCUAUCAAAAAUGCCAUUGAAGAUGGUUGUAUGGUUCCUGGAGCUGGUGCAAUUGAAGUGGCAAUGGCUGAAGCUCUUGUUACAUAUAAGAACAGUAUAAAAGGAAGAGCUCGUCUUGGAGUCCAAGCUUUUGCUGAUGCCUUACUCAUUAUUCCCAAGGUUCUUGCUCAGAAUGCUGGUUAUGACCCACAGGAAACAUUAGUAAAAGUUCAGGCUGAGCAUGUCGAGUCAAAACAACUUGUGGGCGUAGAUUUGAAUACAGGUGAGCCAAUGGUAGCAGCAGAUGCAGGAGUUUGGGAUAAUUAUUGUGUAAAAAAACAACUUCUUCACUCUUGCACAGUGAUUGCCACCAACAUUCUCCUGGUUGAUGAAAUUAUGCGAGCUGGGAUGUCUUCUCUCAAAUGAUGAUUGAAUUCAAAAUCAACCCUUCUAGAAGAUGAAAUUUAGUACACUUUACAUCUGACUACUAUUGUGUAGCCUGAGCCAUUCUGAAUUUCUACACAAUAAAUGCAGUUUAUGUCUU